CUCUUAGGCAGCAACCAUUUGAUUUUCUGGGGGGGCUAUGGUUUUUUUUUCUGUACAAACUUUUUUUUUCGCCUGCGGCGAAAAACAAUCUAUUUUUUUCGCGACAAGUCGAAAACAAUUUUUUUCUUUCAAUUUUAGCAUUACAUAUAGUGGCAGCUGAGGGUGAAACAAACAGUUUUUUUUUCUCAGAAUCAAAAACAAAUUAUUUUUUUCUCCAAAAACUGGAAACAAACUUUUUUUUCCAAAAAAAAACCAUAACCCCCCCCC
rnacentral:lncRNA from 1 species